rnacentral:rRNA from 1 species
UACAGAGGUCUCAAGCGUUGUUCGGAUUCAUUGGGCGUAAAGGGUGCGUAGGCGGCGCGGUAAGUCGGGUGUGAAAUCUCGGAGCUUAACUCCGAAACUGCAUUCGAUACUGCCGUGCUUGAGGACUGGAGAGGAGACUGGAAUUUACGGUGUAGCGGUGAAAUGCGUAGAUAUCGUAAGGAAGACCAGUGGCGAAGGCGGGUCUCUGGACAGUUCCUGGACGCUGAGGCACGAAGGUCAGGGGAGCAAACGGG